UACAGAGGUCCCGAGCGUUGUUCGGAUUCAUUGGGCGUAAAGGGCGCGUAGGCGGGCUCCCAAGUCGGUGGUGAAAUCUUUCGGCCCAACCGGAAAAGUGCCGCCGAUACUGGGAGUCUCGAGGGAGGUAGGGGUCGAGGGAACUUCCGGUGGAGCGGUGAAAUGCGUAGAUAUCGGAAGGAACGCCGGUGGCGAAAGCGCUCGACUGGACCCUCUUCGUGACGCUGAGGCGCGAAAGCCAGGGGAGCAAACGGG
rnacentral:rRNA from 1 species